GUGUCAGCAGCCGCGGUAAUACGUAGGGUGCGAGCGUUAAUCGGAAUUACUGGGCGUAAAGAGUGCGUAGGCGGUUUCUCAAGUCCGCUGUGAAAUCCCCGGGCUCAACCUGGGAAUGGCAGUGGAAACUAGGAGACUUGAAUCUGGCAGAGGGGGGUGGAAUUCCACGUGUAGCAGUGAAAUGCGUAGAGAUGUGGAGGAACACCGAUGGCGAAGGCAGCCCCCUGGGCUGAGAUUGACGCUCAGGCACGAAAGCGUGGGGAGCAAACAGGAUUAGAAACCCCUGUAGUCC
rnacentral:rRNA from 1 species